AUUGAACGCUGGCGGCAGGCCUAACACAUGCAAGUCGAACGAGUGGCGGACGGGUGAGAAAUGUGUGGGACAGUGCCAGAUGGAGGGGGAAAACCACUGGAAACGGUAGAAAAUACCGCAUACCAUCGGAUGUGCCCAGAUGGGAUUCGCUAGUAGGUGGGGUAAAGGCACCCCUGGGCGACGAUCCCUAGCUGGUCUGAGAGGAUGACCAGCCACACUGGAACUGAGACACGGUCCAGACUCCUACGGGAGGCAGCAGUGGGGAAUAUUGCACAAUGGGCGCAAGCCUGAUGCAGCCAUGCCGCGUGUAUGAAGAAGGCCUUCGGGUUGUAAAGUACUUUCAGCGGGGAGGCGUUACCCGCAGAAGAAGCACCGGCUAACUCCGUGCCAGCAGCCGCGGUAAUAC
rnacentral:rRNA from 1 species